AAGCCGCACUUUGAUACUGCUAGGACUAGUAGUUCAGGAGAGGGUGGCGGAAUUCCAGGUGUAGGAGUGAAAUCCGUAGAUAUCUAGGAGGAACACCGGUGGCGAAGGCGGCCACCUGGACUGACACUGACGCUGAGGUGCGAAAGCGUGGGUAGCAAACAGGAUUAGAUACCCUGGUAGUCCACGCCGUAAACGAUGGAUACUAGGUGUCGGGGACUUGAUCCUCGGUGCCGUACGUAACGCGUUAAGUAUCCCGCCUGGGGAGUACGGUCGCAAGGCUG
rnacentral:rRNA from 1 species